AUCCUUUUGUAGUUCAUGAGCGUGACGAUUGGGUGUUCACGCUCUUGUGUGGUAUGUGCCUCCCACGAACCUAGGUACAACCUCAGCACAUUAGCCGGCUGACA